rnacentral:rRNA from 1 species
UACGAAGGGGGCUAGCGUUGCUCGGAAUUACUGGGCGUAAAGGGCGCGUAGGCGGCCAGCUACGUCAGAUGUGAAAUUCCUGGGCUUAACCUGGGGGCUGCAUUUGAUACGGGUGGGCUUGAGUGCGGAAGAGGGUCGUGGAAUUCCCAGUGUAGAGGUGAAAUUCGUAGAUAUUGGGAAGAACACCGGUGGCGAAGGCGGCGACCUGGUCCGUGACUGACGCUGAGGCGCGAAAGCGCGGGGAGCAAACAGG